rnacentral:rRNA from 1 species
AGUGAACGCUGGCGGUAUGCCUAACACAUGCAAGUCGAACGGCAGCACAGUAAGAGUUUUCUCUUACGGGUGGCGAGUGGCGGACGGGUGAGGAAUACAUCGGAUUCUACUUUUUCGUGGGUGAUAACGUAGGGAAACUUACGCUAAUACCUCAUACGUCCUACGGGUGAAAGCAGGGGUUCUUCGGACCUUGCGUGAUUGUAUGAGCCGAUGUCGGAUUAGCUAGUUGGCGAGGUAAAGGCCCACCAAGGCGACGAUCCGUAGCUGGUCUGAGAGGAUGAUCAGCCACACUGGAACUGAGACACGGUCCAGACUCCUACGGGAGGCAGCAGUGGGGAAUAUUGGACAAUGGGCGAAAGCCUGAUCCAGCAAUACCGCGUGAGUGAAGAAGGCCUUCGGAUUGUAAAGCCCUGUUGUUGGGAAAGAAAAGAAGCAGGUUAAUACACCGCUGUUCUGACGGUACCCAAAGAAUAAGCACCGGCUAACUUCGUG